rnacentral:piRNA from 1 species
UGGAAAGGAAUCCAGAAGAGAACAGAUGCA